UUUUGUACUAAAUUUUUUAAGUUAGCUUGUUUCUCAACGUUUUAAUCUUGUACAUGCAAAUAGGAUUGUUUUCUUUUAAAUGAUCUAAUUUCUAAAUGAUUCUCAUAUGUAACAACUGUGAUCUGAAAUUUUUGUUUUGCUUGUUUUAGUAUCUUGAUUAUUGAUCUCUAUGUUCGCAUUUUUCCACUGUUCAUCAGAAAAUUGCACCUGCCCAAUGAUGGAGAAACUCAUUUCUCGAGUUGUUAAGUUGAUUCUUAUCACAAGCCUUUGCCCUCAUCCACAACUCUCUUUCUCUCUCUCUCACUCUCUCUCUUUCUUCAAACACAAACCCAUCCAAUCUAUCUGUCUUUUCCCAAUAUAUUUGCCUUCUCUUUUGGUAAAUUAUUAUAGUGGCUGUUGCUGUGUAGAGGUAGUGAUGAAAAUCAAUUUUAACUGAGGGCAUUUUCCCAUACUCUCUGAUCUUAAAGGUUCACUGAAUUGUUUUAUUAAUUUUCUUUCCCAGUUUGCACGAUUUAACUUUAAAGUGACGAUUUAGUUUCAAGAAUGACAUCAAAUAUUGAAACAUCUAAUUUUGAAGUGCAAGGAACUUGUGCAUAAAGUUAUUUUUUGUUCUCCAAAUCUUAUUUCGAGACAAUUUUUUUUUUAAUUUAAUCAAUUUUGGCUAACCAUCAUGUGUUGACUUAGUGGGCAUAAAGGCCCGGGAGAAAUAAGAGAAUUGGUGGUCACCUAUCUAAGAUUUAGUAUCUUACGCGUUUCUUAUCAACCAAUGUAACAGAGUUAGGUGGUGUUUUGGUGAAAUUAGUCGAGAUGCAUGAGAGUUGGCUUGGACACUCGUUGAUAUAAUUUUUUUUAAUCCAUUCUGGUUUAUAUGCAAGCAUUAUAAAUUUUUUUUUGAUAUCAGCUGUUAAAUAUUUUUAUAUAGUUUAACACAAGUGUUUGACCACCAUUUUUCCAAUUCCAAUACCAGAUUUUAUAUAUAUGUUGCAUAAGUUUUCGGUUUUUCUUUUGAAGUGAUCUUUAAGAAGGGUUGUCCAUUCUUUUGAAUGCUUGUAGCUUCAUUAGUUGGUUUUUUUUAGGUCAUUGCAGCAAGGUGGGAGAGUGUCACAUAGGCUGGUUAUAUAUGGCCAAUUUAAAGAGGCUGAUAUUCAAUAUAGAGCUUUUGGGUUCUAAAGUUAUGGUAGCACCUCGAACCGUUCACGCCUGACAUAAAUUUAAUGAUUAGGACCUAAAAGCAUUCUUUCCCCAAGUACAUGGAUCGAAACAGGUAAAGGUGAAAGUUCAGGAUCAUGAUAAAUUUUGAAUCUUUGUUUCUUUCUGAAUUAGUGAUUCUUCUAUCCUUUUGUUUUCAAUAUUUUGUUUUUAUUCAUGAUAUGCUGUCGCUAUUUAUAGACAUGAAUAUAUGAUAAUAUACGUGACUUUUAUAUUGGGUGUAAAGUCAUUUGUCUUUACAAAUCUCAUACACAAUCACUUGACUUCAUAAUAUUUGACAUUAUAAAAUUGGGUUUGGCUUGAACUCAUGGUCAUAAAGAUUUCUAGAUUUUACUGUAUUUCUUUCUUCUUAUUAUAAUUGUUUUUUAAUGUGCAUAUAUAUAGAUAUAUAUAAAUUGGUGGGGGUGGGAUGCGCUUCUGAUUAGGUUGGUUCGUUUGAAUUGUAUUUUCAGAGAUGUGCUGAUUGUAUGGUAUUUGGACCUUUUUGUAUGAAGAAAUUGGCUUUGCUUUAAAAGUUUCAUCUGCCCGAUGAUGGAAUUCACUGAUUAGAGCAGAUACUGAUGAUCUUCAUUAUAAGCCUUUGCCAUUAGCCAACUCACACAUAAUCUGUCUGUCUGUGUCUCUCUCUCUCUCUCUAUCUCUCUCUAUCUCUCUAUCUAUCUGCCUAUCUGAUAAUCCAUAUAUCUGAUUUCUUCUUUUUCUUCUUUUUUGUGAGUGGUUAAGGAUGUGCAGAGGCUAGUAAUGAAAAUCAAAUACAUCUAGAAAUGAUGAAGUAUGAUUAUGAUAUCUGAGGGCAUCUUGGAAAUGGUUAAUCUACAUGAAACUGUAACUGAUGUUGUAGUCAGAUUUUACAGAAGUAGUGUAUUUGUGAAUUGUGUUUAUCAAUUAAAAACACGUUUUUAAAAAAUUCUUCUUAAUGACUUUGUAAUUUUGUUUGAAAUUUUAACUAGAUUUAUAUUCUGCCUUAUAAGUUACUUCAAAAAUUUUCUCUAAACUCCCAGCUGUUCUAGGACACCUAUAUUACUUCAUGUGACCCUAUUUUUUGUAGUCAUCAAUGGUGAAGGUAUAUGAACAGAAAAGGUGUAAAUGCCAGCCUUUUGUGGGAUAGUUUAUUAGGAAAGUUAAUAAGCAUGAAAUAUGCUAUGCUAUUAAAUUAUGAAAUGUUGAUAAUGAUAAAGAGAACAAUUUAAGGUGUAGGAAUCUGCAUAUUAUUGAUUAGUGUUUGCAUCUUGAAAUUGCCUGUGCCCGAUGAUGGAAAAACUCGUGCUCUGAAGCAUUUGCAUUGAUUUCUAGUACUAGCCUUUGCCCUCAACCAUAACUCUUUCUCUCUCUCUUUCUCAAACUCUACAAACACAUACAUGCAUACAUAUAUAUAUAUAUACAUUAUACGCUUUCCAUUUCCUUUCUUUUCUUUUAUAGUGGCUGUAGAUGAGUAGAGGCUAGUAUGCGAAUGAAAUGCAAGCAUUGUCAAUGAGGAAUUAAGCUAUGAGUUCUGAGGGCAUUGUCAUCCUGUGUUUGGUUUUAAUGCAUUACCUGUUAUCCUUAUUGUAGACGUAGUGUUUGCUUGGUGCUCUCUGUGAUGGUAAUUGCAUCUGCCUAAAUGGGAAUGUGUGAGUUGUAUAGUUGUAUAGUGCCCAUUUGAUAACUGAGGUUACACAAAUUAUGCGUGCUCUGGUAAAGCUUCAUUGAUUCUUGCAUCUGCCCAAAUGGAAUGUGUUAAUUGUAUAGCGCCCAUUUGAUAACUAAGGAAACCAAGACAACACUCCAACCUCUGUGAAAAUAACAACUUAUUCAGAACUUUCAGGCUUUGAAUUGAGAAGAACAGCCAAAACAUGAUGUCUGAGUUCAUAGAUUUGCUUGGAUUUAAGAACAACUUUGACAACAAUUGUUCUUGUCUUUAAUUGUUAAUUAUAUAUAAACAUUUGUACA